CUGUUGUUAUUGGCAGAUAGGAAUCUAUUUUAGUCUUAAGAAUGUUAUCCGUAAAGCUCCUCAAUAUAGAGAAAUUAAAUGCAUUGCAAGUAAUCUCCUAGUAGAAAGAAAAAUUUUAACACACUAAUAAGCAUAAUGAGUUCAUAGAGAAUACCUCGAUCCCAAUAGAUGGUUUUAGAAAAUCCAUGGUGAAGUUUUUUGAGAAUUGUGAAAAAUGCUUCAUAUUUAUUUUUGCGAAGCUGAAUCCCUAUAUAUACACAUAAUAUCCUCUACAUAUAGAAUAUCAGUAUUUUAGAUAACUAAUCUCCUAAGAAUCAACUAUACAGUGUACACUAAUUGAGCAUGAGUUGUUUUACCCACCCCUGCCAUACCCACAAUGGAAACCACACUACUAUCACCAACACUAUCAUCACUAUCGUUCAUCAGCAAAUGAAGAACAAUCUCUUUAUCACAUUCCCUACUGUAGACGCAAGACUCAUCAACAAGAGAAUUAGUUCUUGGUCUCUCUCUUAUCCCUCUAUCAUUCUCGACUAGACUCAAAGCAUCCUUCAUUGCAACAGCCUCUUCCAAUCUAGCAGUAAGACUCUUUAAUCUGAACUCCAUUUUUGUGCUAAACUUAGCAGUGGAAGGAUUCAAACGAAGAAAGCAAGCUGAAAAUAUCUCCCUACCUUGCAGGUGGGCGAAGCGGCGUCCGGAUCUUCCGUUAUUUGGCGACGCCGAGCCUCUGUGGUGAGCUCGUCGAUGAUAUCCUCAGCGUCGUAAGCAACGUCUCUUAAAUCACUAAGCCACAGCUCCAGUAAGCGGCUCGAGGUUUGCUUUCCUUCAGCAUUUUCAAGGGAAGCAUUGAUGAUGCGCAGCAGCGUUUGCCAUUUCUUGAGAUACGAUGAAAAUUUAUCUUUGUCAGCAAAUCUCAUAAAAAAGGGUCGAGGAGAUAACCUCCAUCAGCGAACGAGUCACAACGGCGUCACCCAGAGAAGCGGAUUUACCUUUCAUCACUGAGAAGCGGCCCCGUUUUUGAACUUGCAUCAGUGUCUCUUAACGAAAGUUGAAUGGUUUAAAGGAAAGAAAAGGAAAGCCGGACUGUUCAUAUUAGAUAUUAGAUGCGUGCAUCGCCCGAGCAGAGUUUACCAAAAAUAAAAUUCAGGAAUAUUUAUUAGGAUCAACUCCGGCCUGAAAAAUAGACUUAAAAUCUGAAUGUAUCUUAUUCCUUAGUUGAUCUUUUUAAUAAGCAUAGAAGAAGAAAGAUUCAUCUUGCUCUCCUUUAUCAAUUUAAUAGCUAUCGAACAGUCACUCACCAUAAUAUAAUAUAAGAG
rnacentral:lncRNA from 1 species